UACGAAGGGGGCUAGCGUUGUUCGGAUUUACUGGGCGUAAAGCGCACGUAGGCGGAUCGUUAAGUCGGGGGUGAAAUCCUGGAGCUCAACUCCAGAACUGCCUUCGAUACUGGCGAUCUAGAGUCCGGAAGAGGUGAGUGGAACUCCCUAGUGUAGAGGUGGAAUUCGUAGAUAUUAGGAAGAACACCAGUGGCGAAGGCGGCUCACUGGUCCGGUACUGACGCUGAGGUGCGAAAGCGUGGGGAGCAAACAGG
rnacentral:rRNA from 1 species